GAUGAACGCUGGCGGCGUGCCUAAUACAUGCAAGUCGAGCGAACAGAUAAGGAGCUUGCUCCUUUGACGUUAGCGGCGGACGGGUGAGUAACACGUGGGUAACCUACCUAUAAGACUGGGAUAACUUCGGGAAACCGGAGCUAAUACCGGAUAACAUUUAGAACCGCAUGGUUCUAAAGUGAAAGAUGGUUUUGCUAUCACUUAUAGAUGGACCCGCGCCGUAUUAGCUAGUUGGUAAGGUAACGGCUUACCAAGGCGACGAUACGUAGCCGACCUGGGAGGGUGAUCUGCCACACUGGAACUGAGACACGGUCCAGACUCCUACGGGAGGCAGCAGUAGGGAAUCUUCCGCAAUGGGCGAAAGCCUGACGGAGCAACGCCGCGUGAGUGAUGAAGGGGUUCGGCUCGUAAAACUCUGUUAUUAGGGAAGAACAAAUGUGUAAGUAACUGUGCACAUCUUGACGGUACCUAAUCAGAAAGCCACGGCUAACUACGUG
rnacentral:rRNA from 1 species